AGAGUUUGAUCCUGGCUCAGGACGAACGCUGGCGGCGUGCUUAACACAUGCAAGUCGAGCGGUAAGGCCCCUUCGGGGGUACACGAGCGGCGAACGGGUGAGUAACACGUGAGCAACCUACCUCCAACUCUGGGAUAAGCCCGGGAAACCGGGUCUAAUACCGGAUAUCAUCUCCAUCCUCCUGGGUGGGGGUUGAAAGUUCUGGCGGUUGGGGAUGGGCUCGCGGCCUAUCAGCUUGUUGGUGGGGUAAUGGCCUACCAAGGCUUCGACGGGUAGCCGGCCUGAGAGGGCGACCGGCCACACUGGGACUGAGACACGGCCCAGACUCCUACGGGAGGCAGCAGUGGGGAAUAUUGGACAAUGGGCGCAAGCCUGAUCCAGCCAUGCCGCGUGGAUGAUGAAGGCCCUAGGGUUGUAAAGUCCUUUCGGCGGGGAAGAUAAUGACGGUACCCGCAGAAGAAGCCCCGGCUAACUUCGUGCCAGCAGCGGCGGUAAUUC
rnacentral:rRNA from 1 species